rnacentral:rRNA from 1 species
AUGAGAGAAUCUGUGGAUCGUGUUGUCCAUCAACAAUUAUCUGAGGAAGAAUUGGAGCCUUUUGAAGAUAUUAUAAAUUUCAUUUACAAGGCCAAGUUCAGUAAAUUGGAUCCAAAGAGCUUGUUGAGCGUUGUCAUGGCUGCUGACAAAUUUGAGGUCAAUCAAGCAAUGAAACAGUCCAUAGAGUUUAUGCUUGAAUCGGAAUUGAAUCUUGAGGCAGCUGUACUUUAUCUGGAGUUUUCUCCAGCUAAUGCUACUGUAGCUCAAGCUUUGGCCCCAGUGAGAGCUGCUUCUGGUCGAUUUCUGACUCAAAUGUUCAAGAACGUGUUUAGCCAUAAGGACGAUCUUCUAGAGUUGCCUCUUUCAGCUAUCUUAGAAAUUUUCAGAAGCAGUGAUUUAAUUGUUCCAAAUGAAGAUUAUGUUUACCUUUUUCUGGUGGAUUGGGUCAAGAAAAAAUAUGAAGAUGAGCACAUGAGGUGUACCGUUUUUAGCAAAGCGUUGGUGUUCCUUAUUCGAUUUAUGCACAUGACGAUCGACCGCCUAAUGGCCUUCUCAAAUUGCCCUCUGAUGCCUAACAAAGUUGAUGUCAAGUCAAUUAUUUCUAGUGCAUUCUUGUUCAAGAUCAAUUGUUCGACAGUGAAGGUAGCUCAUUGGAAUUAUGCCCAGCGGAAUUAUCUGAUUAGGCCAGUCAUUUUGACGAACCUUCUGCCAUACAACGAAUUGUUGGCCUAUUUUGAUCUUCCUCUGGCCGACUUUGCCCGGAUGAGUAAUCCUGCGUGGAGGAGUACAUAUACUGAGGUUUUUGCCUAUGGCGGCUACAGACUCUUUGUGCAGUGCCAAACUACUAUAGAUGCGGUAUCCAAUGCUCCAAGUGCAUUUGGGAUGUUUUUGUGUGCUCAGAAGUCAACUCAGCCUGAAGUCUUGUCUGUGGCCUUCUCAGUAAGGCAAAAACCUGGUGGCGGCUAUGUGGACAAGUUUUCAUUUGACAGCCCCUUCCUUCCGGAUAACAAGUUUGGAGUUGCUGAUUUAUUAUUAACACCCUGGGCUGAGCUUCUUGAUGAGAACAACUUGUUUUUGAUCAAUGGUUGA